rnacentral:rRNA from 1 species
AUUGAACGCUGGCGGCAGGCUUAACACAUGCAAGUCGAACGAGUGGCGGACGGGUGAGUAAUGCUUGGGAAUCUAGCUUAUGGAGGGGGAUAACUACGGGAAACUGUAGCUAAUACCGCGUACCAUAGGAUGAGCCCAAGUGGGAUUAGGUAGUGGGUGAGGUAAAGGCGCACCAAGACGACGAUCUCUAGCUGGUCUGAGAGGAUGACCAGCCACACUGGGACGGAGACACGGCCCAGACUCCUACGGGAGGCAGCAGUGGGGAAUAUUGCACAAUGGGGGCAAGCUGAUGCAGCCAUGCCGCGUGUAUGAAGAAGGCCUUAGGGUUGUAAAGUUCUUUCGGUAGGGAGGCGUUAACUACAGAAGAAGCACCGGCUAACUCCGUGCCAGCAGCCGCGGUAAUAC